CAGUCGCCGCGGUAAUACGAAGGGGGCUAGCGUUGUUCGGAUUUACUGGGCGUAAAGCGCACGUAGGCGGACUUUUAAGUCAGGGGUGAAAUCCCGGGGCUCAACCCCGGAACUGCCUUUGAUACUGGGAGUCUUGAGUUCGAGAGAGGUGAGUGGAAUUGCGAGUGUAGAGGUGAAAUUCGUAGAUAUUCGCAGGAACACCAAUGGCGAAGGCGGCUCACUGGCUCGAUACUGACGCUGAGGUGCGAAAGCGUGGGGAGCAAACAGGAUUAGAUACCCGGGUAGUCCCUGUCUCUUAUAC
rnacentral:rRNA from 1 species